UACGUAGGGUGCAAGCGUUGUCCGGAAUUAUUGGGCGUAAAGAGCUCGUGGGCGGCUUGUCGCGUCGGCUGUGAAAACCUAGGGCUCAACCCUGGGCCUGCAGCCGAUACGGGCAAGCUAGAAUUCGGUAGGGGAGACUGGAAUUCCUGGUGUAGCGGUGAAAUGCGCAGAUAUCAGGAGGAACACCGGUGGCGAAGGCGGGUCUCUGGGCCGAUAUUGACGCUGAGGAGCGAAAGCGUGGGGAGCGAACAGG
rnacentral:rRNA from 1 species